GUGUCAGCCGCCGCGGUAAGACGAACCGUGCGAACGUUAUUCGGAAUCAUUGGGCUUAAAGAGCACGUAGGCGGCGGCGUAAGUGGGGGGUGAAAGGCUAUCGGCUCAACCGUGGCAUUGCCUUCCAAACUGCGUCGCUCGAGGAAGGUAGGGGCAGGUGGAACUUCCAGUGGAGCGGUGAAAUGUGUUGAGAUUGGAAGGAACGCCAGUGGCGAAAGCGACCUGCUGGAUCUUUGCUGACGCUGAGGUGCGAAAGCUAGGGGAGCAAACGGGAUUAGAAACCCCUGUAGUCC
rnacentral:rRNA from 1 species